AUACGUAGGGUGCAAGCGUUAAUCGGAAUUACUGGGCGUAAAGCGUGCGCAGGCGGUUUUGUAAGACCGUGGUGAAAUCCCCGGGCUCAACCCGGGAACUGCCAUUGUGACUGCAAGGCUGGAGUGCGGCAGAGGGGGAUGGAAUUCCGCGGGUAGGAGGGAAAUGCGUAGAUAUGCGGAGGAACACCGAUGGCGAAGGCAAUCCCCUGGGCCUGCACUGACGCUCAUGCACGAAAGCGUGGGGAGCAAACAGGAUUAGAUACCCUGGUAGUCCACGCCCUAAACGAUGUCAACUGGUUGUUGGGGAUUUAUUUUCUCAGUAACGAAGCUAACGCGUGAAGUUGACCGCCUGGGGAGUACGGCCGCAAGGUUAAAACUUAAAGGAAUUGACGGGG
rnacentral:rRNA from 1 species